AUACAUAGGGGGCAAGCGUUGUCCGGAUUUAUUGGGCGUAAAGCGUCCGUAGGCGGUUUAUCAGGUCAAGUGUGAAAAUCCAUGGCUCAACUGUGGACUUGCAUUUGAAACCGAUAGACUAGAGUUCAGUAGGGGGAGAUGGAAUUCCAGGUGUAGCGGUGAAAUGCGUAGAUAUCUGGAAGAACACCAGUAGCGAAGGCGAUCUCCUGGGCUGUAACUGACGCUGAGGGACGAAAGCUAGGGUAGCAAACAGGAUUAGAAACCCCGGUAGUCC
rnacentral:rRNA from 1 species